rnacentral:miRNA from 1 species
CCGGGGGUCCGCGUGCCUCUGU